UAGGUGUAAUAUUUGGUGUCUGACUUGA
rnacentral:sRNA from 1 species